UUGACCAGAGAAAGUCAACUAGUCAAAUUUGGGGUUGCAUAGACCCUAUCUCCUUCAAUUUUUGUCAUAUGAAAAUGAUUCCAAAAGAAACGUUACUCAAAAUGACAUUCCAAAAAACUUUAAUGUUGAAAUAUAGAGGUGGUUUUGCUUGGAAAGUCAUUUUUUAUGGUGAAAGACUAUAGGUCAUUUUGUCUGAACCCUAGUUUGGAGGUCAACUUCCCAAGGUGAUAACUUGCUCAAUUUUUAUGAGAUGAAAUCCAUUAAAUUCUAAUGAUCAAAUUCAAUACGUUUACUUCAACUUUUAAGUUUGGAUGAAGUUCAAAUUCAACAUGCAAAUUCAUGUGCCAACAAGAAACAUUUUAGGUCAUUUUGGGCCAAUACCAUUGAACAAGUGAUUUUCCUCAACUUCUAAAAUGCGUAACUCCUUCAUGCCAAAUCCAAAUGAGGUCAAAUUUAUGACUAAAUUGAAUAGGUUUGAAGGAGCUACAACUUUCAUUGAAGAACGCUUCCCAUUUGAAGUCCAUCGAAAAAGUUAUUCAAGGUGGAAAAAGUGUACAUUUGACUUGGGACUUAGAAAAUUUUAAAAUAUGUUUGAUUUCCCAAACUUUCAACUAAAUAUUCAUCAUGAUACAAGCUUCAAAUGAAAAAGCGUUCAACAUGAAAGUUGUUCCCCUUGAUCUCACCUUUCCAAACCGUCCAAGUUCACCUCAUUUGGCCAAAGUAACAAUGGACUUGCACAUGGGUGUAAGUUGAAGGACCAUUUGGAUGUUUUCCACUUCCAUUUUUCAUACACAAUUGCAUGGCCUUCAACCUUGAAUUCAGCAUGAUGCACACUCAUUUUUGGAUCAGAACACAUCAUUUCAUGGGCCUAGCACAUUACAUCAUCCUACACAUAUAUCAUCCUCCAUGAGUCCAAAAAGUCAAGAGAAUGUCAAGCUAGAAAGAUGGUUCAUGGUGGUUGACCAGAGAAAGUCAACUAGUCAAAACUGGGGUUCCAUAGACCCUAUCUCCUUCAAUUUUUGUCAUAUGAAAAUGAUUCCAAGAGAAACGUUACUCAAAAUGACAUUCCAAAAAACUUUAAUGUUGAAGUCUAGACGUAGUUUUGCUUGGAAAGUCAUUUUUUAUGGUGAAAGACUAUAGGUCAUUUUGUCUGAACCCUAGUUUUGAGGUCAACUUUCCAAGACGAUAACUUGCUCAAUUUUUAUGAGAUGAAAUCCAUUAAAUUCUAAUGAUCAAAUUCAAGAUGUUUACUUCUACUUUUAUGUUUGGAGGAAGUUCAAAUUCAACUUGAAAACGCAUGUGCCAAAAAGAAACAUUAUAGGUCAUUUUGGCCCAAUACCAUUGAACAAGUGAUUUUCCUCAACUUCUAAAAUGCAUAACUCCUUCAUGCAAAAUCCAAAUGAGGUCAAAUUUGUGACUAAAUUGAAUAGGUUUGAAAGAGCUACAACUUUCAUUAAAGAACGCUUCUCAUUUGAAGUCCAUAGAAAAAGUUAUUCAAGGUGGAAAAAGUGAACAUUUGACUUGGGACUUAGAAAAUUUUCAAAUAUGUUUGAUUUCCCAAACUUCCAACUGAAAAUUCAUCAUGAUACAAGCUUCAAAUGAAAAAGUGUUCAACAUGAAAGUUGUUUCCCUUGACCUCACCAUUCCAAAACGUCCAAGAUCACCUCAUUUGGCCAAAGUAACAUAGGACUAGAGCAUGGGUGCAAGUUGAAGGACCAUUUGGAUGUUUUCCACUUCCAUUUUUCAUACACAAUUGCAUGGCCUUCCAACUUGAAUUCAGCAUGAUGCACACUCAUUUUUGGAUCAGAACACAUCAUUUCAUGGGCCUAGCACAUUACAUCAUCCUACACAUAUAUCAUCCUCCAUGAGUCCAAAAAGUCAAGAGAAUGUCAAGCUAGAAAGAUGGUUCAUGGUGGUUGACCAGAGAAAGUCAACUAGUCAAAACUGGGGUUCCAUAGACCCUAUCUCCUUCAAUUUUUGUCAUAUGAAAAUGAUUCCAAGAGAAACGUUACUCAAAAUGACAUUCCAAAAAACUUUAAUGUUGAAGUCUAGACGUAGUUUUGCUUGGAAAGUCAUUUUUUAUGGUGAAAGACUAUAGGUCAUUUUGUCUGAACCCUAGUUUUGAGGUCAACUUUCCAAGACGAUAACUUGCUCAAUUUUUAUGAGAUGAAAUCCAUUAAAUUCUAAUGAUCAAAUUCAAGAUGUUUACUUCUACUUUUAUGUUUGGAGGAAGUUCAAAUUCAACUUGAAAACGCAUGUGCCAAAAAGAAACAUUAUAGGUCAUUUUGGCCCAAUACCAUUGAACAAGUGAUUUUCCUCAACUUCUAAAAUGCAUAACUCCUUCAUGCAAAAUCCAAAUGAGGUCAAAUUUGUGACUAAAUUGAAUAGGUUUGAAAGAGCUACAACUUUCAUUAAAGAACGCUUCUCAUUUGAAGUCCAUAGAAAAAGUUAUUCAAGGUGGAAAAAGUGAACAUUUGACUUGGGACUUAGAAAAUUUUCAAAUAUGUUUGAUUUCCCAAACAUCCAACUAAAAAUUCAUCAUGAUACAAGCUUCAAAUGAAAAAGCGUUCAACAUCAAAGUUGUUCCCCUUGAUCUCACCUUUUCAAAACGUCCAAGUUCACCUCAUUUGGCCAAAGUAACAACGGACUUGCGCAUGGGUGCAAGUUGAAGGACCAUUUGGAUGUUUUCCAAUUCCAUUUUUCAUACACAAUUGCAUGGCCUUCCAACUUGAAUUCAACAUGAUGCACACUCAUUUUUGGAUCAGAACACAUCAUGUCAUGGGCCUAGCACAUUACAUCAUCCUACACAUAUAUCAGCCUCCAUGAGUCCCAAAAGUCAACAGAAUGCCAAGCUAGCAACAUGGUUCAUGGUGGUUGACCAGAGAAAGUCAACUAGUCAAAUUUGGGGUUGCAUAGUCCCUAUCUCCCUCAAUUUUUGUCAUAUGAAAAUGAUUCCAAAAGAAACGUUACUCAAAAUGACAUUCCAAAAAACUUUAAUGUUAAAAUAUAGAGGUGGUUUUGCUUGGAAAGUCAUUUUUUAUGGUGAAAGACUAUAGGUCAUUUUUUCUGAACCCUAGUUUGGAGGUCAACUUCCCAAGGUGAUAACUUGCUCAAUUUUUAUGAGAUGAAAUCCAUUAAAUUCUAAUGAUCAAAUUCAAUACGUUUACUUCAACUUUUAAGUUUGGAGGAAGUU
rnacentral:lncRNA from 1 species